CCACAUAAAGUUGAAUAACUGAGACAAUUCCAAAAUGAUGGAAUUUUAUUUCAAAAUUCACCUGGGAAUCACUCAUCAUAAAGAUAUAUAGAAUAUCUUCUCAAAGGCUAGAUGGCAAAAUUUGUUUUCUUUUCAAUGGAGCAUGUUGCUAAACCCUCAUUUCUUAAAAUUUUUUGCUCAACUCUGUAAGCCAGAUGAUGAAUUUUACAUAUUAUUUUUCCACUCAAUCCUGCAUUCAACACAGAACUACAAGAAAAGUACAUGUCCAGACAUUUUUGGCUCCAAGAGACAGAUGAAAUUUGUCAAAGUGCAGAACUUUAUGUAGAAAUG
rnacentral:lncRNA from 1 species